UCCGCGUGGUCUGAGUGGCACUACUACUGUGAUAUGCAAGCACCUCAGGAUGAGUCAGGUUGCAAGCGGGGCGGGAUAUCCCGCUACCCCGCUGGGCCGCCCCGCAAAAUACACCCGCGAAACUCCGCUGGGUCGACCGCUUCGUUUUGGAUGCGCCUUGUGUGUUGGGAUGAGGCCUAAUGAAUGGAUAACUUCCUAAUGACCCUAAAGAUCAACUUCCCAGAAUGAUAUCCAAUGCUCGGAAGGAAGCUCAUCCUAGCAUGCAAGGGCUCGGAAAGGGCACCUGGGGCAAACUCGAGGAUUGGGCCACGGACGCGACGAGUUGGUGAAGGAAGCAGGGUUGUGGGGUGGCUUUGCUGGAGCGGUGCCCUUAAAGCGCACCACCAUGAGCCACCCAUUAACGGGGUAGGCUCCGACCUGA